UUAACAAGAUCUCUGUCUCUUCCUCUGUCCACACGUGCCAUGCCAUUUAUUUUAUGAUGUCAUGUGACUCUUUCUGUACACCAUAUGAACCUGUCUGUA